GCCAAAUCUGAUAAAGAACCAACUCAGGUGAGAAAUUAGAGACUUCACAAUGCUGAUAUUGCAUAGGAUGCAUCCCUGGAGUUGGCUGGGUUGACACCAAUGAGGCUGUAGUGGAGUUUUGCCAUCUAUGUUGAUGAUCACUUUUCGACUCGGAAGAAAAUGAGGAUGAAGUUGAGGAAGAUAACUGAUUCUCUGCCACUAGAAAUAAAUUUAGAACAAAGUCAGUCCUAGAAAGAAAGAAGAAGCACAAGCCAGAUAAUGUCAAAUAAAAAAGAAUAAAAGAUAAAUUGAAAAUAAGACAAUGAGGUUAUACUUAAAUUGGAUCCACGGCAGUCGCCAAACGCACAUUCAAGGUAUUAUUGACCCUUCGAUCAAGAUCUGAAGGUUCAAUAAUAUACAUAUUUUAGUUUUAAUUUUAUAAUUUUAAAUAUCAAAUUUAAAUCUCCACCAUCCGAUCUUGAUCAAAAGGCUACUAGUAUUCUGAAUGUGUGAAUGCAUGAUUCACCGACGGAAAGGAAACCCGGUCCGGUUAUACUAUCCAUGACUCUAAAUUGGAAAUAUACAGAAGAUAUAAUUACAUCUGUAAAAUGCUCACAUUUUCUCAAUGCAGACCAAGCAGCUAUUGCUGCAUUUUUCUGAGCCUGUUUCUUGGUUCUGGCUGGAUCGCCAGCAAAAUGCAUUCCUGCAAUCUCAACGGUACAAUAGAAGUUAGGGACAUGACCUGAUCCAGCACGGACGGUCCUAUAAACCGGAAGGUUCAGUCCAGCUCUGUGGGCAGUUUCCUGGAGCAAGUUUUUGUAUACUCCUGUCUCAUCCUGUAAACAUUCAAACAACAAUUGUUAAUUUGUAGCAUAUAUCUAACGAGUAGUGAUAGGAACACUCACUUUAAAACUCUCUCUAACACUCAUUCUCUUAUUGGACAAAAUUUAUGCGGAUCACAUCACUUUAUGUGCGGCUCAUUUCCAAAGUGGUGGGAGUCACAUGAAUUUUAUUCAAUAAAAGAGUGAACGUUGAAGAGUGUUAUAAUGAGUGUUGCUAGCACCUCUCAUAUUCAACAUUGCAAUACAAGAGUUUUAAUAUGGCGGUGAAUGUUAUACAUACCAUUCUAGUUCUUCUAUCCUCGCCUAAUAGAGAGGGGGAAUGUUAUACCCCCAUAUUCUUUAGAGUUUAGUUUCCUAAGACGAGGGGAUAAGCUAUAUUCAUGAUCUCAAACUCAUUUAUUCGAUUUGGAUGUAUAACUAUUAAAAUUAAUUAUUCAGUCUUCUUUUAAA